rnacentral:rRNA from 1 species
AUACGUAGGGUGCAAGCGUUAAUCGGAAUUACUGGGCGUAAAGCGUGCGCAGGCGGUUUUGUAAGACAGAGGUGAAAUCCCCGGGCUCAACCUGGGAACUGCCUUUGUGACUGCAAGGCUGGAGUGCGGCAGAGGGGGAUGGAAUUCCGCGUGUAGCAGUGAAAUGCGUAGGUAUGCGGAGGAACACCGAUGGCGAAGGCAAUCCCCUGGGCCUGCACUGACGCUCAUGCACGAAAGCGUGGGGAGCAAACAGGAUUAGAUACCCUGGUAGUCCACGCCCUAAACGAUGCCAACUGGUUGUUGGGGAUUUAUUUUCUCAGUAACGAAGCUAACGCGUGAAGUUGACCGCCUGGGGAGUACGGCCGCAAGGUUAAAACUCAAAGGAAUUGACGGGG